ACAAUAUUCUAGAGUACUUA
rnacentral:snRNA from 1 species